UUUUCCUCUUCCAUUUCGCUCCACUUUUCCUCCUCAUUUUACUUGUUCUCUCCCUCUCUGCAUUUUCUAUGUUCCUCAUCGCCCACGGUCUAAGUAAGGCACACUCUAGCUCCAACUCUAGCUCUAAGAAACAGAGAAGACCGAGAGGGUGAGAGGUAAGAUUUUUGGUGUGUGUCGUUCAUGGUGGUUCUGUUGGCUGCCGUUCGGAGUUGGGGGUGGUGAGGUUGAGUGUUGACCAGUUGUAGCAACCGGUUCCAUCAAGGGUUUUUGGUUGUGGUGGCCGCUAAGGUUGGUGAAGGGCUGAGUUCUUGAGCUUGAGUAGCCAAUUAUGGGUUAAUUGAUGACAUCCUCUCAUCUUCUAUGAGUUAAUUGCAGAAUUUGGUAUGACAAAUUGUUUGAGUUUCAUUGAAGACCAAUAAAUGCGAAAUACCUCAGCUGUUUGAGGAAAUUGGCAAGCAGCUACCCCGCCCUUCCGCUUCAUGAUAUGGGAGAAGCUUGAAACUGAAUCAACUAAGAGCUGCUCUAGUUGUGGGAGCCCUUUCUUUAUCUGCUUGAAAUAUUCAGCUAGCUUGUGUAUAUAUAUAUAUAUAUAUAUGCUCUAGUUGUGGGAGCCCUUUCUUUAUCUGCUUGAAAUAUUCA